UACGUAGGGUGCAAGCGUUAAUCGGAAUUACUGGGCGUAAAGCGUGCGCAGGCGGUUGUGCAAGACAGGGGUGAAAUCCCCGGGCUUAACCUGGGAACUGCACUUGUGACUGCACAGCUGGAGUACGGCAGAGGGGGAUGGAAUUCCGCGUGUAGCAGUGAAAUGCGUAGAUAUGCGGAGGAACACCGAUGGCGAAGGCAGUCCCCUGGGCCACUACUGACGCUGAGAAGCGAAAGCAUGGGGAGCGAACAGG
rnacentral:rRNA from 1 species